CGGUGUUUAACUGGCGUGAUGUGGGACGUCCUACCGGUGGGCUUAGCCUCGCGAGGGGCGGCCCAACUAAUAUCCCGUCGCGGUGCUCUUUACUGAGUGUCGAGUCGGGCCGGUACGUUUACUUUGAACAAAUUAGAGUGCUUAAAGCAGGCUAUCCUCGCCUGAAUACUGCGUGCAUGGAAUAAUGGAAUAGGACCUCGGUUCUAUUUUGUUGGUUUUCGGAACCCCGAGGUAAUGAUUAAUAGGGACAGAUGGGGGCAUUCGUAUUGCGACGUUAGAGGUGAAAUUCUUGGAUCGUCGCAAGACGGACAGAAGCGAAAGCAUUUGCCAAAAAUGUUUUCAUUAAUCAAGAACGAAAGUUAGAGGUUCGAAGGCGAUCAGAUACCGCCCUAGUUCUAACCAUAAACGAUGCCAGCUAGCGAUCCGCCGAAGUUCCUCCGAUGACUCGGCGGGGCAGCUUCCGGGAAACCAAAGCUUUUGGGUUCCGGGGGAAGUAUGGUUGCAAAGCUGAAACUUAAAGGAAUUGACGGAAGGGCACCACCAGGAGUGGAGCCCUGCGGCUUAAUUUGACUCAACACGGGAAACCUCACCAGGCCCAGACACCGGAAGGAUUGACAGAUUGAUAGCUCUUUCUUGAUUCGGUGGGUGGUGGUGCAUGGCCGUUCUUAGUUGGUGGAGCGAUUUGUCUGGUUAAUUCCGAUAACGAACGAGACUCUAGCCUGCUAAAUAGGCGUACCUUAUGGUAUCGCGAAGGCCCCCGGCUUCGGCCGGUGGGUUUUUACUACCAACGUACAAACAAAUCUUCUUAGAGGGACAGGCGG
rnacentral:rRNA from 1 species